rnacentral:rRNA from 1 species
AUUGAACGCUGGCGGCAUGCCUUACACAUGCAAGUCGAACGGUAACAGGUCUUCGGAUGCUGACGAGUGGCGAACGGGUGAGUAAUACAUCGGAACAUGCCUAGUCGUGGGGGAUAACGUAGCGAAAGUUACGCUAAUACCGCAUACGCCCUGAGGGGGAAAGUGGGGGACCGUAAGGCCUCAUGCGAUUAGAGUGGCCGAUGUUCGAUUAGCUAGUUGGUGAGGUAAAAGCUCACCAAGGCGACGAUCGAUAGCUGGUCUGAGAGGACGAUCAGCCACACUGGGACUGAGACACGGCCCAGACUCCUACGGGAGGCAGCAGUGGGGAAUUUUGGACAAUGGGGGCAACCCUGAUCCAGCAAUGCCGCGUGUGUGAAGAAGGCCUUCGGGUUGUAAAGCACUUUUGUUUGGGAAGAAAUCCCUUGGGAUAAUACCUCAGGGGGAUGACGGUACCAAAAGAAUAAGCACCGGCUAACUACGUGCCAGCAGCCGCAGUAAAAC